UACGAGGGGGGCGAGCGUUGUUCGGAAUUAUUGGGCGUAAAGGGCGCGUAGGCGGCCUUUCAAGUGACGGGUGAAAUCCCUCGGCUUAACCGAGGAACUGCCUGUCAGACUGGAAGGCUUGAGACCGGGAGAGGUGAGUGGAAUUCCCAGUGUAGCGGUGAAAUGCGCAGAUAUCAGGAAGAACACCCGUGGCGAAGGCGGCUCUCUGGGACGGUACUGACGCUGAGACGCGAAAAGCGUGGGGGAGCGAACAGG
rnacentral:rRNA from 1 species